GCAUAUGGCCAUACCACCCUGAGCGCGCCCGAUCUCGUCUGAUCUCGGAAGCUAAGCAGGGUCGGGCCUGGUUAGUACUUGGAUGGGAGAUUGCCUGGGAAUACCAGGUGCUGUAAGCU
rnacentral:rRNA from 1 species